UAAGAGGAGAGACUCGUGCGCCCCCUCCCUCCUCUCUGGUUGUGGAGGCCUUCGGGUUAUUCCCCGAAAUCCAAUCUUAUCCGAAGGACCCUGGGAGGCUAGGGGCAGGGACAGCUGCAUUUCUCGCAGCGGGCCACUAGGAAGCUUGCCGGCGCCUCGCAUUCUCCUCCCUCUCCCGCCCCAGUCGGAGCCAGAGCUGGAGCAGGAGCCCGGGAUUGCACCUCGUUCCCCAGCGCCGCGUCCCAGCACCACCACCCCAUCCCGCCCGUGGCUUUCCCGUGCCACGAGAGGCGGGACUCGCACUCCAUCUAGGAGCAAGGGAGGAGAGUGGAGGAGCGCCCCUCGCUUGUCUUGGGGUUCAGCUCAGGAAUCACCUGCUCCAGGAAACCUUCACGGAUUCUCUCUAGGUGGAAAACAUCAUCAGGUUCAGGUUAAACAUGUCUCAACAUUCAGGCUGACAGUCAAGGCAUCAUUGGAUAAUCCUACCUCUCCCCAUCCCCUCCUCAGGACUGGAUGACGCCAAACACCGAGGACAACUCCCUGAGGAACAGUUCGCAGCAUGACCACUUAGCCUCUUGACCAGAAGGCCCCGCCACCCCCCCCUGCCCUGCUCCCACCUCCCCAUCCCAGGUGGUGAGGGAGUGAAAUUUCAGAGCAGUGGGGGGUGGCAGCAGUGGAGGUGGGGGGAAG